GAAAGUAAAAAGUCGUAAACAAGGUUUCCGUAGGUGAACAUGCGGAAGGAUCAUUAAUGUGUUUCGGAGCCUGGCACACCCAUCUCUACUUGGGAUGGGUGUGGCAGCGCCCCCACACGUGUUUACUGAACUUUGUUGCCUUGGUAGGCCUGCCGUUCUGGCUGCCAGGGGCGCCUAACCGUGCCCUCGGCGUGUGCCUACCAGUGGAGCAUUUGAACUCAAGAGAAGAUUGAAUGUCUGAGCAUUUAUGCAAAUUAUACAAAACUUUCAACAACGGAUCUCUUGGUUCUGGCAUCGAUGAAGAACGCAGCGAAAUGCGAUAAGUAAUGUGAAUUGCAGAAUUCCGUGAAUCAUCGAAUCUUUGAACGCACAUUGCGCCCUCUGGUAUUCCGGGGGGCAUGCCUGUUCGAGCGUCAUUGCAAACCCCUCAAGCACGGCUUGUGUGUUGGGCCACCGUCCCUCUUGUGGACGGGCCUGAAAUGCAGUGGCAGCACCGAGUUUUGGUGUCUCAGUGUAUGGGAAUCUCUAUCACUUCAAGACCCAAUCAGUGUUGAUCAUCAGAUUUUUUCUAGUUUGACCUCGGAUCAGGUAGGAGUACCCGCUGAACUUAAGCAUAUCAAUAAGCGGAGGA
rnacentral:sRNA from 1 species